rnacentral:rRNA from 1 species
GAUGAACGCUGGCGGCGUGCUUAACACAUGCAAGUCGAACGAUGAAGCCCAGCUUGCUGGGUGGAUUAGUGGCGAACGGGUGAGUAACACGUGAGUAACCUGCCCUUGACUCUGGGAUAAGCCUGGGAAACUGGGUCUAAUACCGGAUAGGAACGUCCACCGCAUGGUGGGUGUUGGAAAGAUUUAUCGGUCAUGGAUGGACUCGCGGCCUAUCAGCUUGUUGGUGAGGUAAUGGCUCACCAAGGCGACGACGGGUAGCCGGCCUGAGAGGGGAACCGGCCACACUGGGACUGAGACACGGCCCAGACUCCUACGGGAGGCAGCAGUGGGGAAUAUUGCACAAUGGGCGAAAGCCUGAUGCAGCGACGCCGCGUGAGGGAUGACGGCCUUCGGGUUGUAAACCUCUUUCAGUAGGGAAGAAGCGAAAGUGACGGUACCUGCAGAAGAAGCACCGGCUAACUACGUGCCAGCCGCCGCAGUAAGAC